rnacentral:rRNA from 1 species
AACGAACGCUGGCGGCAUGCCUAACACAUGCAAGUCGAACGAGACCUUCGGGUCUUGUGGCGCACGGGUGCGUAACGCGUGGGAACCUGCCCUUAGGUUCGGAAUAACUCCCCGAAAGGGGUGCUAAUACCGGAUAAUGUCUUCGGGCCAAAGAUUUAUCGCCUUUGGAUGGGCCCGCGUUGGAUUAGCUAGUUGGUAGGGUAAAAGCCUACCAAGGCGACGAUCCAUAGCUGGUCUGAGAGGAUGAUCAGCCACACUGGGACUGAGACACGGCCCAGACUCCUACGGGAGGCAGCAGUGGGGAAUAUUGGACAAUGGGCGAAAGCCUGAUCCAGCAAUGCCGCGUGAGUGAUGAAGGCCUUAGGGUUGUAAAGCUCUUUUAACCGGGAUGAUAAUGACAGUACCGGGAGAAUAAGCUCCGGCUAACUCCGUG